GAAGGGAAGAAGGACGGCAGCGUCAGAGGGAAGGGAGGGAACCGGGAGAGGAGAGGGCGAGGGUUCAGGGAGGGUGGAUCGAUCCGAUCCCAAAAUGAAAGGGGAGGCUGUUCGAAAAAGGCCGCGCCGUGGUACUGCCAGCGGCUCGACGAGGCGCGGGUCGAGCUCCUCGUGUUGUAGCUCCACUAGGAGGUAAGGCUCGGGAGGGGGGAGAGGCUAAACCACGGCACAGUCUGACUUUUUAGAACCGGAGUGUAAAGUCUUUUUUAUUUUUAUUUUUUAGAAAGGGAAAGAACGAGCAAGCCGGGGACCUAACCGCACAAGGCAACGACACCAUCGCGAUCUAGAGCAGACAGGUACAGCGGAUCCAGCGUUUCGAGACCAACGUCUCGAUACCCAGCUCUCGACACAUUAACCACCGGUUGGACUACUAAGAGCGCACGAACAGGACGCUCAAAAGUACCACUUCCCGUCGACCAGUCCGGUUGGGUCCGGAGGUACUUGGAGGUGGACUCCCACACCAUCGUACAUGCCCUAGGUACGAGUGAACAGGUCGACCCUCAAAUCAAAAGUCCGGAUUGGAAAGUAGAAAGACGAGGAUUGAAACGACAAUGUACGCAACAUGAAGAAGUAAACAAACGGCCAACAGGAUUAAUACAUGUCAAACUUGACUUUACGAUGACGAAACAGAAUACCUAUGUUUAGACUUUUCUUAAAAUUCGCUCGUAUCUAUUUAGUAGGUGGAAACUACUAAAGAGGUCACCCUUACUCCGGAACGAACAAACAUUAAUCGAAACCUUCAGCCAAUCAUCGGAUUCAUAGAAUAGAACACACAUACGAAUAUACGAAAUACCGUAUAAAGGACAUGGUUGUUAUAUUUAUUUACACAAUCGUAUGGAAGACAACAGUUACGUCUGUUGUCAAGGAACAUUAAAGUCAAAUAGAAGACCUCACAGUAAAGUCAAAUAGAAGACGACUUACGACUACGAUGAAUCAUACACGAAUGUAUAAGUACGACCUUUCUAUUAUGACAACAAUCUAACAAAUGACAAGAAAGUAAACACGUAUACCGAUUGAGACAAAGGGACGUGAGACGUAUACGGGACAAGGCUCCCUCACGACAAACCAGAAAUUAUGAAUGCUGCCAGUUAAUUAUAAUAACAACAUUACGUAUGAGAGACCCUCUACUCGGAUAGGAACUCCUACUACUACUGCUGCUACUUAUGUUACUACUCCUACUCCUACUUUUUCUACUGCUACUACAACUCCCUCCACUACGAUCACCUUCUAGAUCCGUCUGUUCCUCACUCUUCUUCUCGUCCUUUCGGUACCUCUUCGAACCGUACUUCCAGUAAUGACCACACUUGGCACAUUGAUAGUUUUUCUCGUUCUGGCAAUGCAAACAGGAGAGGUUCGGUCUACAGAAGUUCUCGAGUGUGAGUCUUUGGAUACAGUAAUAGCCCCUCUAGUUCAAGCUCCUGGACUUGUGACUCGACGUCUGUGUUCGCCGUCUCGUCAAGUUCCGCGGCCCGGGCUCGUCCCAGUUAAGCUACCCACUCGGCAGGCACCGUCGUCAGGUUCUACUGCUCCUCCAACUGCUCUGGCCGCAACUGUUCUUCCUGCAGCUCGAGUACUACUACGUCCGGAGGCACAGCUCUAGGUCCCGGCACCUCCGUGAGUUCCGACGCCUACCGCUGUAGCAGUCGCGGUAGUACCUCAACUGAUUGAUCCAGGACCUUCCACCUCAACACAGGACUAUUAUCCCCCCCAACCCAGUUACGAUAGAAAACCGGUACAGGAGAACUUAAAACGUCGACGCAUUAACCUCCGAGACACAGAGACAACUUUCGACUUUGUCAUAAAACCUCGUACAACAAAGCCUACGCCCAUACCGAGGUCUCGCACCACUUACGGUGGAAAAAAACCUCUACAUCCAAAACCUCCGCAAAUUUGUACACUACUAGUCGUUUGACGAACGAGAAUACCCUUUUAGACUUAACCGACACGGUUCAAAACGAUGUUUGCCUACAGUAAGACACAAGGUCUGUUAUACAGCAAGAUCGAUCGAAAACACAAAACAAUUGAUUG
rnacentral:rRNA from 1 species